UACGGGGGGUGCGAGCGUUGUCCGGAAUCACUGGGCGUAAAGGGCGCGUAGGUGGUUUGAUAAGGGUGUGGUGAAAGCCCGGGGCUCAACCCCGGGUCUGCCGUGCCGACUGUCAAACUCGAGGGCUGUAGAGGCAGACGGAAUUCCGGGUGUAGCGGUGGAAUGCGUAGAUAUCUGGAGGAACACCGGUGGCGAAGACGGCAUCCUGGACCAACACUGACACUGAGGAGCGAAAGCCAGGGGAGCAAACGGG
rnacentral:rRNA from 1 species